rnacentral:rRNA from 1 species
UACGUAGGGUGCGAGCGUUGUCCGGAAUCACUGGGCGUAAAGGGCGCGUAGGCGGCCUGAUAAGUAGGGGGUGAAAUCCUGCGGCUUAACCGCAGGGCUGCCUUCUAAACUGUCAGGCUGGAGCACAGUAGAGGCAGGUGGAAUUCCCGGUGUAGCGGUGGAAUGCGUAGAGAUCGGGAAGAACAUCAGUGGCGAAGGCGGCCUGCUGGGCUGUUGCUGACGCUGAGGCGCGACAGCGUGGGGGAGCAAACAGG